rnacentral:rRNA from 1 species
UGAAUACGAGACGCUAAGGCGUCGAAGUAGUGUAUGUCAUACUUCCAAGAAAAGCUUGCACUGUCAUAAGUAAAAAAUGCCUGUACCAUAACCGACACAGGUGGGUAGGUAGAGUAUACUAAGGGGCGCGAGAUAACUCUCUCUAAGGAACUCGGCAAAAUAACUCCGUAACUUCGGGAGAAGGAGUACCUUAUUCUAUAAGGUUGCAAUAACAAGAUCCAAGCAACUGUUUAUCAAAAACACAGGUCUCCGCUAAGUCGUAAGACGAUGUAUGGGGGCUGACGCCUGCCCAGUGCCAGAAGGUUAAAGAAGUCGGUUAGCAUUAGCGAAGCUGGUAACUGAAGCCCUGGUGAACGGCGGCCGUAACUAUAACGGUCCUAAGGUAGCGAAAUUCCUUGUCGGGUAAGUUCCGACCCGCACGAAAGGCGUAAUGAUUUGGAUACUGUCUCGGAGAGGGGCUCGGUGAAAUAGACUUGUCUGUGAAGAUGCGGACUGCCUGCACCAGGACAGAAAGACCCUAUGAAGCUUUACUGUAACUUGAAAUUGAAAUUGGACUUUAUUCGCGCAGUAUAGGUGGGAGGUGUUGAUUAUAAUCUUGCGGGAUUAUUGGAGCCAUCAGUGAGAUACCACUCUUGUAAUGUUAGAUUUCUAACUUUGAAUCAUCAUCUGGUCAAAGGACAGUUUCAGGCGGGCAGUUUGACUGGGGCGGUCGCCUCCCAAACGGUAACGGAGGCGUACAAAGGUUUCCUCUGAACGGGUAGAAAUCGUAUCUAGAGUGUAAAGGCAUAAGGAAGCUUGACUGUGAGACCUACAAGUCGAACAGGGACGAAAGUCGGUCUUAGUGAUCUGACGGUACUGAGUGGAAAGGCCGUCACUCAACGGAUAAAAGUUACUCUAGGAUAACAGGCUGAUCUCCCCCAAGAGUUCACAUCGACGGGGAGGUUUGGCACCUCGAUGUCGGCUCAUCGCAUCCUGGGGCGGUAGUACGUCCCAAGGGUUGGGCUGUUCGCCCAUGAAAGCGGUACGCGAGCUGGGUUCAGAACGUCGUGAGACAGUUCGGUCCAUAUCCGGUGUAGGCGUUAGAAUAUUGAGAGGAGCCUUCUUUAGUACGAGAGGACCGAGAAGGACAUACCUCUGGUGUACCAGUUAUCGUGCCAACGGUAAACGCUGGGUAGCUAUGUAUGGAGUGGAUAACCGCUGAAAGCAUCUAAGUGGGAAGCCCACCUCAAGAUAAGUAUUCUCAU